UACGUAGGGUGCAAGCGUUGUCCGGAAUUAUUGGGCGUAAAGAGCUCGUAGGUGGCCUGUCGCGUCGGCUGUGAAAACUCGGGGCUCAACUCCGAGCUUGCAGUCGAUACGGGCAGGCUAGAGUUCGGCAGGGGAGACUGGAAUUCCGUGGUGUAGCGGUGAAAUGCGCAGAUAUCAGGAGGAACACCGAUGGCGAAGGCAGGUCUCUGGGCAUUAACUGACGCUGAGGAGCGAAAGCAUGGGGAGCGAACAGG
rnacentral:rRNA from 1 species